UACGAAGGGGGCUAGCGUUGCUCGGAAUUACUGGGCGUAAAGGGCGCGUAGGCGGACAGUUAAGUUGGGGGUGAAAGCCCGGGGCUCAACCUCGGAAUUGCCUUCAAUACUGGCUGUCUUGAGUACGGGAGAGGUGUGUGGAACUCCGAGUGUAGAGGUGAAAUUCGUAGAUAUUCGGAAGAACACCAGUGGCGAAGGCGGCUCACUGGACCGGUAUUGACGCUGAGGUGCGAAAGCGUGGGGGAGCAAACAGGG
rnacentral:rRNA from 1 species